CAGGUUUUAGUUUUGCUAUCGGCCCUCUGCUUGGCAAUGGUCGAAUUUGAGUUUUGUUCUGUGAGUUUGGCCCUCUGCUAGGCAAUGGUCAAAUCCAGGUUUUAGUUUUGCUAUCGGCCUUCUGCUUGGAAAUGGUCGAAUUUUAGUUUUUUGUUCUGCGAUUUUGGCCCUCUGCUAGGCAAAGGGUCAAAUCCAGGUUUUAGUUUUGCUAUCGGC
rnacentral:lncRNA from 1 species